UGGGGGAACACUAGGGGAUACUGGGGGAUACUGGGCGAUAAUGGGAGCACUGGGUGUUACUGGGAGAUACUGGGAGUUACUGGGAUCACUGGGAGCAGUGGUGGUUACUGGGAGAUACUGGGAAUUAUGGGAGCACUGGGCGAUACUGGGAUCACUGGUGAUUACUGGGGGUUACUGGGAGAUACUGGGAGCUACUGGGAGCCACUGGGAGAUACUGGGGGUUACUGGGAGCACGUGGAGAGACUGGGAACACUGGGAGAUACUGGGAGGUAUUGGGGGUCACUGGGAGCGCUGGGAGAUGCUGGGAUUUACUGGGGGGUACUGGGAGCUCUGGGGCUUACUGGGAGCACUGGAAGGUAUUGGAAAGACUGGGGGUUACUGGGAGCCACUGGGAGAUAUUGGGGGUUACUGGGGGUUACUGGGACCACUCAGGGUCACUGGGAGCAUUGGGAGCUACUGGGAGAGACUGGGAACACUGGGAGUUAUUUGGGUUACUGGGAGAUGCUGGGGGCUGCUGGGAGCCCUGGGAGAUACUGGGAGCACUGGUGUUUACUGGCGAUUACUGGGAGAACUUGGAGAUGCUGGGAACAGUGGGAGAUACUGGCAGAAUUGGGAGUCACUGGGAGUACUGGGGGUAACUGGGAGCACUGGGAGAUACUGGGAACACUGGGGGUUACUGGGGAUGCUCAGGGGCUUACUGGGAGCACUGGGAGAGCCUGGGAGUUACACGGAGCACUGGGAGAGACUGAGAGAUACUGGGGUUACUGGGGAAUACUGGGAGCACUGGAAGGUAUUGGAAAGACUGGGGGUUACUGGGACAUACUGGGAGAUACUGGGGGCUACUGGGACUACUGGAGUUAUGUGGGUUACUGGGAGCACUGGGAGAUACUGGGAGAUACUGUGAGCACUGGGGGUUACUGGGGAAUACUGGGAGAUACUGAGGGUAACUGGGAGCACUGGGAGGGACUGGGAGCCACUGGGAGAUACUGGGAACACUGGGAGGUACUGGGGAUACUGGGAACAUCGGGAGCCACUGGGGGGUACUGGGAACACUGGGGGUUACUGGGGCAUACUGGGGGAUACUGGGGGCUGAGCCCAGAGCCCACCCCAGGGACAGGAAUGGUGAGGGGAGUUGGGGGCACUGGGGCUACUGGGGGAUACUGGGAACACUGGUGUUUACUGGGGAUUACUGGGAGCACUUGGAUAUGCCAGGAACACUGGGAGAUACUGGCAGAAUUGGGAGUCACUGGGAGUGCUGGGAGUUACUGGGAACACUGGGAGAGACUGGGGGUUACUGGGAGNNNNNNNNNNNNNNNNNNNNNNNNNNNNNNNNNN
rnacentral:lncRNA from 1 species